rnacentral:rRNA from 1 species
GANUGGUGACCAGCGGAGGGAUCAUUA